AUUGAACGCUGGCGGCAGGCCUAAAACAUGCAAGUAGAACGGGUGGCGGACGGGUACGUAAUGUUUGGGAAACUGCCCGGUGGAGGGGGAUAACUAAUGGAAACGGUAGCUCAUAACGCCUACCAGCAGAGGUGCCCAGAUGGGAUUAGCUAGUAGGUGGGGUAAAGGCUCACCAGGGCGACGAUCCCUCGCGGGUCUGAGAGGAUGAACAACCAAAUUUGAACUGAGACACGGUCCAGACGCCUACGGGAGGCAGCAGUGGGGAAUAGUGCACAAUGGGCGCAAGCCUGAUGCAGCCACGCCGCGUGGAUGAAGAAGGCCUUCGGGUUGUAAAGUAAUUUCAGCGAGGAGGCGUUACCCGCAGAAGAAGCAUCGGCUAACUCCGUGCCAGCAGCCGCGGUAAUAC
rnacentral:rRNA from 1 species